rnacentral:rRNA from 1 species
GUCCAUAAUGACUCCCGGCAAUGGAUAUCUCGGCCCUUGCAUCGAUGAAGAACGUAGCGAAAUGCGAUACUUGGUGUGAAUUGCAGAAUCCCGUGAACCAUCGAGUCUUUGAACGCAAGUUGCGCCCGAAGCCGUUAGGAUAAGGGCACGCCUGCCUGGGUGUCACCAG